ensembl:processed_transcript
GGCUCCUCCCCACGGGCCCCGGCGGGGCGGGAGGCGGGAAACGGCCGCCUUCACCCUGGCCUUCCCGGGAUCCCACAACCUCGCCGCAGCAGUCUGCUCCCCGCUCACCUGUCAAUCCUCCUUCAGAGCUGACGGUCCGGGGUGGCCCCGAAUCCUGGCUGCGCGUCUCAGGGAGCCAGCGCGUCUCAGGGAGACUAGCUUAGCCCCGCCGCGCAGAGGGAUGUGAACCUGUUUUGUACGAAUUGGUGGCUUGUUUGGGUUCUUCAGAAUUGUGGCUUCUGAUUCACUGGAGGUGGCUGUGCCCCUACCCCGCAACCCCCUGAAGUGGCUGGCAUUGGUGCAAAUGAGGCUGUUGAACCUGAUCGUGUUCUCUCUGGCCUUGGACCUGAGUGCUGCAGUGAGAGAGAGAGAGAGAGAGAGAGAGAGAGAGACUCUGAUGGCUCUGAAGAUCAUGGUCCUUCCCAUAUGAGGUUCUAGGCAGUAUUCCUGAGCCGGUCUCUUGCUCACUCCCCAGCCCUUUUGAAUACCCCUUUUUGGUAUGAAUUUGAUGAUCUAAUUUGACUAUCAUCUCUCAAAUGCUCAGGUGUGUUACAGUUUUACUCUUCGCUGUAUCACUUUGUCACACGGUUAAGAGAGCAGGAUCUACCCUUCCCUCGGGGUCAUUCUCUGCAUCCUAGCUGAUGUUCAGUGAAAGCUCCGAGGGUUUGUCAAUGUGGAAACUGGUUGGCAGUCAAUCGAUGGUCUCGCAGCCACAGUUAGAGAUGAGCUGCAUCUGGGUCUGCCCAUGUGCUUUUAGAAUAGGCUGAACUUUAUAACACAUUCAAUCUUUGGAAUAAACUGCCACCGUUUUAUUGUUAGUUGAACUAUAUACAAGGUUGCUGGGGUAGGAUAUUUCAGGGGCAGAGUGCUUGCCUAGCAUGCAUGAGGCUGUAUGUGGACUCCAUCCCCAGGACCAAAAUAAUCAUUUUAUUCAUAGAGGAAGAUGUUUGCCUGGGUUCAAUGCCCAACAACUCCAGCUCUGGAGGACCCAAAUGCUUCUGUCUUCUGAGGUCACUUCUGAGGUCACUAGCACGGACAUAGCCCCUACCACACGUGUACACACAAUUAAAAAACAAAGCAUAGGAUUUGGAGUAAAACAGACUUUGCUUUUAAAGCCCCAUAAUAAUAUUGCAACGCUGUAGACAUGAACACUUUCUCAACAACCCCCAUACACAUAUACUGAAAGAGAAAUUAAAGUAUAACCCUGAGUGGGCCUUACAAGGAGAAGAUGAGUUAGUGCAUGAAAAACAGCAGUGUUUAGCAUGUGCUAAAUAAAGAAAGCUGUUAUAUAUUGCCAUAUGUAAUCUAAUCCAAAACAAUCCAUACAUGUGUGUAUCUGGAUUUGCCUUUAAAAAAAAAAAACAUGUUCUAAUCACCACAGCG